rnacentral:rRNA from 1 species
CCCUUAGACGUUCUGGGCCGCACGCGCGCUACACUGACCAGUGCAACAAGCAUCCGUCCUUGGCCGACAGGCUCGGGCAAUCUUUGAACGCUGGUCGUGAUGGGGAUAGACUUUUGCAAUUUUUGGUCUUCAACGAGGAAUUCCUAGUAAACGCAAGUCAUCAACUUGCAUUGAUUACGUCCCUGCCCUUUGUACACACCGCCCGUCGCACCUACCGAUUGAAUGGUCCGGUGAAGCGUUCGGACCGUGGCCUUUGGACGGUUCGCCGUCUGUUGGCUGCGGGAAGUUCGUUAAACCUUAUCAUUUAGAGGAAGGAGAAGUCGUAACA